UUUCCGUAGGUGAACCUGCGGAAGGAUCAUUAACGAAUAACUAUGGUGUCUUGGUUGUCGCUGGCUCCUCGGAGCAUCGUGCACGCCCGCCAUUUUUAUCUAUCCACCUGUGCACCGAGUGUAGGUCUGGAUGACUCUCGUCUCCGGGCGGAUGCGAGGUUUGCGUGUGCGUAGCGCGUUCGCGCGCGUUGCGUACGGGCUCACCUUGAAUUUCCAGACUCUACGUCUUUUUACACACCCCAAACGUAUGAUGCAGAAUGUAGUCAAUGGGCCUUUAAAAGCCUAUAAAACACUAUACAACUUUCAGCAACGGAUCUCUUGGCUCUC
rnacentral:misc_RNA from 1 species